CAGCAGCCGCGGUAAUACCGGCUGCUCGAGUGAUAACCACUAUUACUGGGUUUAAAGCGUCCGUAGCUUGAUUGUUAGGUCUCUUGGGAAAUCUUCACGCUCAACGUGAAGGCGUCUAAGAGAUACCGGCAAUCUUGGAACUGGGAGAGGUAAACCGUACUUCGGGGGUAGGAGUGAAAUCUUGUAAUCCUCGAGGGACGACCUAUGGCGAAGGCAGUUUACCAGAACAGCUUCGACAGUGAGGGACGAAAGCUGGGGGAGCAAACGGGAUUAGAUACCCCGGUAGUCCCAGCCGUAAACAAUGUGCGUUAGGUCUGUCGGUAACCACGUGUUACUGAUGAGCCGAAGAGAAAUCGUGAAACGCACCACCUGGGAAGUACGGUCGCAAGGCUGAAACUUAAAGGAAUUGGCGGGGGAGCACCACAACAGGUGGAGCCUGCGGUUUAAUUGGAUUCAACGCCGGACAUCUCACCGGAUAAGACAGCUGAAUGAUUGUCAAUCUGAAGGUUUUACAUGACUAGCUGAGAGGAGGUGCAUGGCC
rnacentral:rRNA from 1 species